rnacentral:rRNA from 1 species
GAUGAACGCUAGCGGCAGGCUUAACACAUGCAAGUCGAGGGGUAUAGCUCUUCGGAACUAGAGACCGGCGCACGGGUGCGUAACGCGUAUGCAAUCUACCUUUCACAAAGGGAUAGCCCCAGAGAAAUUUGGAUUAAUACCUUAUAGUAAUACGACUUGGCAUCAAGAUGUAUUUAAAGAUUUAUCGGUGAAAGAUGAGCAUGCGUCCAUUAGCUUGUUGGUAAGGUAACGGCUUACCAAGGCAACGAUGGGUAGGGGUCCUGAGAGGGAGAUCCCCCACACUGGUACUGAGACACGGACCAGACUCCUACGGGAGGCAGCAGUGAGGAAUAUUGGACAAUGGGCGCAAGCCUGAUCCAGCCAUGCCGCGUGCAGGAUGACGGUCCUAUGGAUUGUAAACUGCUUUUGUACAGGAAGAAACCCUUUCACGUGUGGAAGAUUGACGGUACUGUAAGAAUAAGGAUCGGCU